rnacentral:tRNA from 1 species
AAGCUAUUAGUUAAACUAAUAAAAUAUAAGUUUUAUAUAUAAAAAAUAAACUUCCUAAAAUAUAUAAUAUAAUUAAAUAAAAUAUAAAUAAAAAAGUCUAAAAUAAAAGUAAUAAAAAACUAAUUAAUAUUAAAAAAUAUUAAGGAUAUAUAAAGCUUUAAAAGCUUUAUAAACUAUUAUAAGAAAUUUAUUAAAAGCUAUAAUAAAAUUAUAAUACCCUU